UGCCUUAAUCCAAAUGCAGUCGCAUUGAAUGGUGGAUCGCAUGGUGGUUUUCUCGUUGCACACCUGUCUGCACAGUAUCCGGCUGUUUAUAAGGCAGUGGUUGCUCGUAAUCCUCCGGUGGAACUGUGCUCCAUGUUUGUAACGUCAGAUAUGCCAGACAAGCGCCCAUAUGAUGUCGGAUUGUUGUAUGCAGGUUGGUCAUCAGACAACUCUCUUUGGGAAAGGAUGAGAAAUGUAUCUCCAUUGAAGCUGGUUGACAGAAUUCAGGCCCCCACAUUGCUUUUAUCGGCAAAAAUGACCGUCGAGUGCCAUUUUCGCAAGGGAUAGCUUUCUAUCAUGCUUUGAAGGAGAGGAAUAUCGAAACUAAACUUUGCAUCUAUCCAGAUUGUCAUUCUCUUGCCUCUAUGCCUGUGGAGUUGGAUAGUACUAUUAAUGCCGCCCUAUGGAUCAUACAGCACCUUGAACCAUAACUAACACUACUUCUGUGGAGACAAGAUGAAGAAGAAUCAUGGCCCUGCUCUUAGCAUAGAAUAUUUUACACUUUAUUUUUAUUUUUUUGGAUCUAAAAAAGAAAAGUUUUGAGUACUUGAUGAUUUUUACUCUUAAUGACAGUACCUACAUAUUUUUGAUAAGGAAAUAUGUAAAUGGGUGAGCUUGUGCAAAAUUGGCCGAUGCCCAUUACUUUCCCCCAAUUAUACUGAUUAAUAAAGUCUAUACCCCCGUCUGAACUGUGUUUUUUAUACAUUUUUGUAAUCAAUCAAAGCAUGCAGCGAAAAAAUCGUACGUUUUCUUAAUAGCUUUAAAAUCAUUAUUCUUACUCCGAAGUGUGUUUGUUGCCAAUCUGGCAAGAUUGAAGGCGACUCUCAGGAUCACAUGGAUUGCAUUUUGCAAUAAGGAACUAAUAUUUCUGGCUCAUUUUAGAAACAACAUAUAUGCC
rnacentral:lncRNA from 1 species